CCCGGGAAGCCCUCGUCGGCUGAGCGGGCGGAGGCCUCCUCCCCCUCCUCCCCCAUCCGGGCUGCUCGGCGGGGCGAGGCCGGCGGCGUCUGCGGGGCGCCUGAAAAGGCCUGACGUCCGCCUGGCUGCCCGCCCGGCCUGGGAGGCGGAGCGCGGCGCAGCGCCUCCCGCCCAGCCCGGAGCAGCCUUUCCGCCGCCCGCAUGACGCCUCGGAGCGCGCCUCGACCCCCGGUUUGAAUGUGACCUGUAGAAGACGGCGAAGAUGUCGCUUCACAACACCAGAGCCUCGGUGCUCCUGGCCUGGGUGAACAGCCUGAAGCUGGGGGAGGCCGUCACUUCGUUGUCUGAGCUCCAGGAUUGCAGCCUUUUCCUCAAGAUCAUCGGCAAAAUGUAAGACG